rnacentral:tRNA from 1 species
GCGGGUGUAGUUUAAUGGUAAAACUCCAGCCUUCCAAGCUGGCUACGGGGGUUCGAUUCCCCUCACCCGCU